ensembl:snRNA U6 U6 spliceosomal RNA
AAAUUUAAAUGACUGAUGUACUAAAACUGGAAUGAUACAGAGAUUAGCACAGCCCCUAUGAAAGGAUGGCAUGUAAAUUUGGGAAGCGUUCCAUAUUUUU